GACUUUACUUUCCUCUUUCACACUUUCCUCUUUCACUGAAGAACGAAAGAGUUGAUGAGCAGGCUGAUGAACGAGCUGGUGAAGAGAAGUGAAAAGAGUUGAAGAGUGGAUUCUCUUCUCUGAUGCAUAUUUAUAAGAAAAACACGCUAAAGAAUUGAAGUCGCCGAAUAACUGAGAUGAAGAAUUGAAGUAAUUGAAAACUGAUAGUUCAAGUCGUGUUCUUCGAUAACUAUUUCUUGAAGUAAGGAAUUGAAUACUUUGGGAUUGUUUGGAAGAUUAUGAACUGAAGCUAAUUAGUCUCUCCAUCACGCUUUUCUCUCAAAUUUCUCAUUGAAGAGCACGAUUUCAGACAAAUUUUGUUGGAAUAAGUUUUAUCUGACAGAUUUCUAGAAAGAGCUGAGGAACUUCUCGUUGACGAACACAAUAUCUGUUUUAGCUGGUUUUACUGCUGCUUAUUGGAAGUACCAUCAACAUUCAAAAACAUUUGUGGAGGAUUCAAGAUCUGAUUUGGCAUAGCAAAAGUGUCAUCACUAG